UACGUAGGGGGCAAGCGUUGUCCGGAAUCAUUGGGCGUAAAGAGCGUGUAGGCGGCUCGGUAAGUCCGCUGUGAAAGUCGGGGGCUCAACCCUCGAAUGCCGGUGGAUACUGUCGGGCUAGAGUGCGGGAGAGGCGAGUGGAAUCCUGGUGUAGCGGUGAAAUGCGCAGAUAUCAGGAGGAACACCAAUUGCGAAGGCAGCUCGCUGGAACGUAACUGACGCUGGAGACGCGAAAGCGUGGGGAGCAAACAGG
rnacentral:rRNA from 1 species